UUUCGAGCUCCCCUUCUCAUACACAUACAUAGCUCACAAAGAACGCCUCCUCGUCGUCCUUCCAUCGUCGUCGUCGUCGUUUGCGGCCUCGCCUCCACCACUCCUUCGAUUUCUUCUUCCACCUUCACUCUCUCACUUCUCUUACUGUUCAAUUCCUCGAGCGACGAUCUAUUUUUCUGAACAAUUUUCCUGUCGGUGAACGCAUCUCUGUUCUCUUCUGAGCUCGUUCCGAUUCAUAGUCAUGAAUUCAUAGGUUAUGGAAGAUUGGAUACAAUUAUAUCAGCUGGAUAUAUACCAAGCUCAAAGUGUUAGGUGUGAUGCAAAGAGCUUGGAAGAUGCACUGAUCAAGCGUGUGAUGGUAACACCUGAGGAGGUCAUUACAAGAACCCUUGAUCCUAUUGCAACUGUUGGUAGCAGGGAUGCAUUAGCCAAAUUCUAAAUCUGUCAUUGGAGUUCUUGAUAUCUAUGGGUUUGAAAGUCUUAUAUUCAAUUUAUUCAAGCUGUUGGUAGCAGGGAUGCAAAUGAUGCAUUUGUUCUUCUAUGAAUUUGAAUUGAAUAGUUGAAUUUGUUGUAGGCUCUUGCUAGCUGAUGGCUAGUUGAUAUUGUACAAUUUAUCAUGGCACUUGCUUUCUAACAAGGUUGCAAGUUCUUGUAACUUUGUAACUCCAUCACUUUGUGGCGGUGGCAAGAGAAGAGGUGGUGGUGGCAGAGUUAGAGUUGGCUGAAAAGGGGCAAUGAGAAUGUCAACAGCAUUUUGCAUAACAGGAUGGUUAGCCCUCUUCUUCUCAAAGAUCCUUACUCACUUGACUUUGGAAGGUUUUUCACAGGAUAUGGAAUUAGAGUUAUCUCAUAUGUGGUUCCUAUAUAUAUAGCUGAAAUAGCACCAAAGAAUCUUCGAGGUGGACUUGCAACAACAAAUCAGCUUAUGAUUGUUAUUGGAGCUUCAGUCUCAUUCUUAAUAGGAAUUGUCAUAACUUGGAGACAACUAGCUCUAGCAGGACUUGUUCCAUGCAUUUGCUUGCUGAUUGGUUUGUUCUUCAAAAUUGUGGAAUUUCUAUAAGCACUGACUUUACUCAAGUGGAUGGUCGUGUUCUGUCUUCACCAAGGAGAAAGACAAUUCAGGCCUUGUUAGGGUACAAUAUUACAAGGCACCAAUAGAAGGAUCUGGAUAGGACUCAGAGCCAUGUUUGGAUAGUUUUUCAAGGGACAACAUUGGAGUUGGUACAGAUUUAGCAUCAGUCAUGCCUGCUCUGUAUAGUAAAUCUCUAAUGCACAGGCAAUGAAAGAGCAAGCUCAACUGAGGGAGAAAAUGGCAUACCAAUACAAGCUUGGUAACUUUGAGGCUGCUGCUGCAAUCCAGAGAAGUCACAGGAUAGAUUGAAUGGGCUGAAUCAAGGAGGACCAAGACAAAGAGCAGAAGCUUUGGCUGCUUUAAACUCUGCAUUUAAAUCAUCAUCUGGAACCAAAAGUUCUAGCCCUAAGACAACUGGAAGAAGUCAAGGAUCACAAAGAGCAGCAGCAGUAGCUGCUCUCUCUCAAGUUUUUACUACUGAGAAGAAGAAACAAUCACCUAAUUCUUCUCUUGUGGCAACCAGAAGUCCUGUUGUGGAAACUAGCACUUCCGGUCAUACGAAGUGGAAUCCCCAACUUCUGUGCAGUUGCAUUAGCUCUCAAUGAGUUAGGAUACAAAGCAGUUGGCAUUAGACUGGACUCUGGUGACCUUGCCUAUUUGUCUUAUCAAGCCAGGAAGAUAUUUUCCUGCAUUGAAAAGGAAUUCGCGGUGUCUGGCUUUGGGAAGACUAGUAUUACAGCUAGUAAUGAUCUUAAUGAGGAAACUUUAGAUGCUUUAAAUAAACAGUGGAUAGAGCAAGCUUCUGAACCCAACAAGGAAGCAGUUAUUAAAGCAGUGUUGUUGGCUGGAGUUCCAAGAACAGGAGGAUUUGAUGCUGUCUUUGCUGUUACUUUGGGAGAUUCAAGCAGCAAUGUGACAAAAAUAUGGAGCUCACUCAAUGUUCUUGCCCUUCUGGUUAAAGAAGAUCCUUGUGGCGUUUCUUUAAAAAGUGCUGACCCUAGAACAAAUGAAAUCACUUCAGCUGUAUCUUCAAUUCAUAUUGAAUAAUUUAUUGUAAAUAUUGUUUAUUUUUAAUAAGAUGAAUUUUUUUUGAAAUAUUGUAAAUAUUCGAAUAUAAAUUAGAUAAAAAUUUGUAUUAAAUUUAUAUUUAUUUUGUAUGAAAAAAA